CGGGGUCGCCAGCAAACAGGAAUCGCGACGUCUAGAAUACGCGAAUGCGAUAUAAUAGUUUUGACGGGUGCAUCAAACAACGAAUCUUUGCAAUCAGCAGACGUAUUUCGUACUUUAACGUCGAAAGAGUACCCCAAGAUGACUCAAGCGGUAUGAAUAGACUGACCGACAUGAUAGUGAACAACGUAAUCCCUCUAGACGGGAGUAUUUUGACUACAAUCUAAUAGGUGUAUCUUCUGGCGAAUCUCUUGACAGAAUCGUAUAAAAGGUCAAAAGAGAAAAAGUGGAACGGAAUAAUGCUUUUGGAAAUACGCACAGUGAAUGUCCGCAAUUACUCUUCAACAGCAUAAUUGCGACUGAUAGGCGCUGCAACCUGUUUCGACUAUAAUAGCUAUCUCUAAUGAGCUUAGAGGAUGCAGAAAAUUCAACAAAACUCUUCUAAGCACGAACUCCGUCGGUACCUCUUUAAACGAGUCAAUCCACCGUUAACGAGAAUGUGGGUAACAACAAUAUAAACGUACAUAGUCGUUGUGGAUAAUAAGCUGGAGCAGAUCGACAUCGGGUUCUGUUGGCGGCGGCGGUGGGGGAUUGGAUCCCUUUUUUGCACUUCCCGUGGGUCGCUGGGCGGCUUGGUCUA